AGAUGCCAAAGUUUCCAUUGGAAAACCUGCACUUGCCGGGGACCACCAAACAAUUCUUGCAAACCCAGACCCUCUGGGACCAGGGUCGGGUGAUGGGGAGGAGCUGCGAGGAUUAGUUGCUGUUGAAGGGGGCUCCGCCAAUGAAAUCUUCUCUGCGCUCUGAUUUGGCGGUUCUUCGGUGCAAAUAUGACAGCUUUCUCUCUCAGCUCUUUUCUGCAUCUCUCCAUGUCCGACCCCGGAGCCCAGUUCUUGGUCUGCAAUUUUUACACCACAACCUUUGCAGUCACCACCACCACCACCCCUAGGUCCCAUGUCAGCAGGUGCCAGAUUGCUACAAAGGUGACAGGGCACAUUGGGAAGAAGGCUUGUUGAUUGCAGAAGAUACUUAUGCCCCGUGUUUCCAGGUGGGGAAAUGUUAGAAUAAAUGCAAUAUACUUUGUACUAAAUAUAUAGUCAUGGAGAAAUGUUCAGAUUGUUUAUUUCUUUCUUUGAUGGUAACUAAUGUAUUAGAAAGAAUCAGAUAUUUAUUUAUCUGUCUUUGCUGGUUUUUCUUCUUCCCACACAGGUCAAUGCCUGUGUGCUCCAUCAGUUAACGGGGAGUAGUAGUUAGCAGAGAAUAUUAGUGAGGCUUUGGUUGGAGAGGUGGGAUUUUGCUGUCUAUCGAGGAAAAUAAAAGAUGUGAACUUCC
rnacentral:lncRNA from 1 species